GCUUCGAGGAGGAAAACGUAAUUAUGUCUUGUGAAUCCGCGCUAGAACGAAUAUGGGGGGGGGGAGAGACGCCAUGGCGUUGUUUACAUCCCGGGGCCCAGUAGCAGGUCCCAGCCUCUUCCUUCUCGGGUGAUUUCUAGAGUAAAUAAUUGAGAGAAGACUACAAGUGUGUCCCAUCCCUGAAUUGGGAGUUCCCUGCUUUGUGCUUUAAGUCAGGCCAACAGGUUGAGACACAAGCUGUUUUGGUCAGGACUUGAGGAUGUUGACCAGAGUCCGCUAAUAUCCUUCAAUAUUUAGUGUUACAGACACCUGCUCCAAGUGAUACGCCAUUACAGAAGUGUUCCGGUUCGGCCUCGUGCCCAUCGCUUGUCGUGCCCGGAAUGAGGACCGCAGCCAAGUGGCAUUGAGUCUCAACAACAAUGAAGUGAAUAUAUAUGGCAGAGCUGCAUCAGAGUGGAAGCUUCAGGAAACACUCCAGGGUCAUGAUCUGCGUGUCACAGGCAUUGACUGGGCUCCCAGCACCAAUCGCAUUGUUACAUGUGGAGCAAACGAAUAUGCAUCCCAGCCGGGGGGGGAGAGACGCCAUGGCGUUGUUUACAUCCCGGGGCCCAGUAGCAGGUCCCAGCCUCUUCCUUCUCGGGUGAUUUCUAGAGUAAAUAAUUGAGAGAAGACUACAAGUGUGUCCCAUCCCUGAAUUGGAAGUUCCCUGCUUUGUGCUUUGUUACA
rnacentral:lncRNA from 1 species